AGUAACGCGUGGGUAACCUGCCUCAUACAGGGGAAUAGCAGCUGGAAACGGCUGAUAAAACCGCAUAAGCGCACAGUGCCGCAUGGCACAGUGUGAAAAACUCCGGUGGUAUGAGAUGGACCCGCGUCUGAUUAGCUAGUUGGUGGGGUAACGGCCUACCAAGGCGACGAUCAGUAGCCGACCUGAGAGGGUGACCGGCCACAUUGGGACUGAGACACGGCCCAA
rnacentral:rRNA from 1 species